AGUUGAACAGUUGAACGCUCCGGGCUGGGGUGGUCCUGUGAGCAGACAACGGGUAGAGGCCCAGUGGGAAGAGUGAGGCCACAUCAAGUGACAGGGCGGCAGAAUGAAAUAAAGAAAAUGCGACCCAUCUGUAAAGUGAUCCAUGAGAGACUCACUUUAGAGACAAAGAGAUUGAAAGGGAAAGGGUGAAAAAGAUCCUCAAGGUCGACACAUUCUGCCCAUACCACCCAAGCAAAUGGUUUGCUCUGACGCCAACUUGUAUUUACCCUCCAUCAGCAGUUGACUGUGUGUCCUGAUCCCUGGACCCUUCCCAUCGGUGCCCCUGGCGGUUGAGGCGGCCACGUGGGUGAGUCUCUGCCUGCUUCUCCCCGUGGCCAGGAUCGUGACUGCUCCACUGCACCUAAGAGAACAACCUUGGACCUGACUUGACAUCUCUCCCUUGACCUUCAGCCUCUAUUCUCUGCUUACACAUGCUGCUAGAAUUAAUUUAUUCUUUUCCUUUUUCAUGCCCUGAUCACUUUCCCCCAUUUCUUUUUAUCCUUGUUUUGUGCUGUCAUCCAUUCACUGGCUAUAGAGGCUGUUUAAAAGCCUGAGAAAGCAUUGUGUCUCAAGGGGUUUCCCAUGUAUAGUGGAGAAAUGUUCAUGGUUGAAGUAAUCCCGGCAUGACUGAGCAUUCCGACGCUGUCAGCUGUAGGCACACUAAAGGUUAGGCACCAGCCAAAAUCACCUCCGGCCCAGUGCGAGGAGGCUCAUCUUUAAGUUAAAAAUUCCCAUCAUCUUAGGACAGAUUUAAAUAAUCAUUUCCCCGAUGUUUUCUUUUGAGCAUAUUCCUAACGGCAAAUAUAAUUCUUACAGAUAAGAUAUAAGAGCUCAAAUGUUUUCUUAAAAGAAUAUUUCUAGUUCCAUUCUUGAGUAGGGUUGAUACUCUGCUUGCUUUGUUAAUUUCACUUGGUGCUAUAUAGUUCAGUUAUUUGCUAGUGGCAAAUGAAAUAGACUAUGUCUAAUAUCUGAGAGGCAGAGAUCAUGAAAGUUCAGUCUUCUGUGUGUAUAUACGUUAUCAUGGGUGAUAUGAUUCAUUCUUACCUAAAAUUGUAAGGCCUCUUGUCAUGUAAUUAACCAGUAUUUUAUUAAUAAACACAAGGUUAAAAAACUAAACUUUCAAUU